rfam:Triticum aestivum genome assembly, contig: Triticum_aestivum_CS42_TGACv1_scaffold_556815_7AL
CUAAUACUCACUAUGUCCGAAAAUAUUUGUCAUCAAAAUGGAAAAGAAAUGAUGUAUCUAUAACUAAAAUAUGUCUAGAUACAUCCUCUUUUAUUCAUUUUGAUGACAAGUAUUUCCGAACAGAGGGAGUACCUU